rnacentral:rRNA from 1 species
AGUGAACGCUGGCGGUAGGCCUAACACAUGCAAGUCGAACGGCAGCACAGUAAGAGCUUGCUCUUACGGGUGGCGAGUGGCGGACGGGUGAGGAAUACAUCGGAAUCUACUUUUUCGUGGGGGAUAACGUAGGGAAACUUACGCUAAUACCGCAUACGACCUACGGGUGAAAGCAGGGGAUCUUCGGACCUUACGCGAUUGAAUGAGCCGCUGUCGGAUUAGCUAGUUGGCGGGGUAAAGGCCCACCAAGGCGACGAUCCGUAGCUGGUCUGAGAGGAUGAUCAGCCACACUGGAACUGAGACACGGUCCAGACUCCUACGGGAGGCAGCAGUGGGGAAUAUUGGACAAUGGGCGCAAGCCUGAUCCAGCCAUACCGCGUGGGUGAAGAAGGCCUUCGGGUUGUAAAGCCCUUUUGUUGGGAAAGAAAAGCAGCAGGUUAAUACCCCGCUGUUCUGACGGUACCCAAAGAAUAAGCACCGGCUAACUUCGUG